rnacentral:rRNA from 1 species
AGGGUUUGGAUCAUGGGGCUCAGAAUGAACGCUGGCGGCGUGCUUUAUACAUGCAAGUCGAGCGAGAACGCGACUUCGGUCGUUAGUAAAGCGGCGAACGGGUGAGUAACACGUGGACAACCUGCCUGGGAGCGGGGAAUAACUCGGGGAAACCCGAGCUAAUACCGCAUACGCUGUCCGAGCCUCGGCUCGGAUUAGGAAAGGUGGCCUCUUCUCGAAAGCCAUCACUCCCAGAGGGGUCCGCGUCUGAUUAGCUUGUUGGUGGGGUAACGGCCUACCAAGGCUGCGAUCAGUAGCCGGCCUGAGAGGGCGAUCGGCCACACUGGAACUGAGACACGGUCCAGACUCCUACGGGAGGCAGCAGUAGGGAAUAUUGCGCAAUGGGGGAAACCCUGACGCAGCAACGCCGCGUGGAGGAUGAAGGCCUUCGGGUCGUAAACUCCUGUCAGGUGGGACGAAAACGCACGGGCGAAAUACCCGUGAACUUGACGGUACCACCAGAGGAAGCCCCGGCUAACUCCGUGCCAGCAGCCGCGGUAAUACGGAGGGGGCAAGCGUUAUUCGGAAUUAUUGGGCGUAAAGGGCGCGCAGGCGGCUUGGCAAGUCAAAGGUGAAAACCCUCGGCCCAACCGAGGAACUGCCUUUGAAACUUCCUGGCUAGAGGCCGAGAGAGGGUAGUGGAAUUCCCAGUGUAGCGGUGAAAUGCGUAGAUAUUGGGAGAACACCAGUGGCGAAGCGACUACCUGGACGGUUCUGACGCUGAGGCGCGAAAGCGUGGGGA